rnacentral:rRNA from 1 species
UCGAGAAUUUUUCUCAAUGGGGGCAACCCUGAAGGAGCGACGCCGCGUGGAGGAUGAAGGCUUUCGGGUUGUAAACUCCUGUCAUUUGAGAACAAGGUGCACCGGUUAACUGCCGGUGCAUUGAUAGUAUCAGAAGAGGAAGGGACGGCUAACUCUGUGCCAGCAGCCGCGGUAAUACAGAGGUCCCAAGCGUUGUUCGGAUUCAUUGGGCGUAAAGGGUGCGUAGGUGGCGUCGUAAGUCGGGUGUGAAAUCUCGGGGCUUAACUCCGAAACUGCAUUCGAUACUGCGGUGCUUGAGGACUGGAGAGGAGACUGGAAUUUACGGUGUAGCAGUGAAAUGCGUAGAGAUCGUAAGGAAGACCAGUGGCGAAGGCGGGUCUCUGGACAGUUCCUGACACUGAGGCACGAAGGCCAGGGGAGCAAACG